rnacentral:tRNA from 14 species
UGGGUCUGGGAGGAGUGGGCUUCAAACCCGGAGGU